GAUGAACGCUGGCGGCGUGCCUAAUACAUGCAAGUCGAGCGAACAGAUGAGGAGCUUGCUCCUCUGACGUUAGCGGCGGACGGGUGAGUAACACGUGGAUAACCUACCUAUAAGACUGGGAUAACUUCGGGAAACCGGAGCUAAUACCGGAUAAUAUAUUGAACCGCAUGGUUCAAUAGUGAAAGACGGUUUUGCUGUCACUUAUAGAUGGAUCCGCGCCGCAUUAGCUAGUUGGUAAGGUAACGGCUUACCAAGGCAACGAUGCGUAGCCGACCUGAGAGGGUGAUAGGCCACACGGGAACUGAGACACGGUCCAGACUCCUACGGGAAGCAGCAGUAGGGAAUCUUACGCAAUGGGCGAAAGCCUGACGGAGCAACGCCGCGUGAGUGAUGAAGGUCUUCGGAUCGUAAAACUCUGUUAUUAGGGAAGAACAAAUGUGUAAGUAACUAUGCACGUCUUGACGGUACCUAAUCAGAAAGCCACGGCUAACUACGUG
rnacentral:rRNA from 1 species